rnacentral:piRNA from 1 species
UAGACGUCGUCUGACUUGUCCUUGAGAUGGU